UAGUGGAGCGAUUCCCUGCUGGUCACUGCGGCCCUGGGCUGGGGACCGUGGGCCGUGGGGCGCCAUGGGGGAGGGGAGGCUGCCGCAGCCACUUGGCCACUUUUCCUUACUUCCGGGCUCUCUCCUUCAACACAGAGUCGGGGGACCCUCCAUCCGGGGGCGGGGUUUGGGGGCUCAGCUCCCAGGGACAGGCAGCUGGGAGGGAGAGCUGAGCUUCUAUGACUGUACCAGGUGUCAGGGGCGGGGCACAUCAGACCCUGAACUCUUUGCAUUUCUUUCAUUCAUUCAUUCAUUCAUUCAUCCAUCCAGUGCUACGUGCUGUUUGGCCUCUUCUGGGGAUUGGGCUCUCUGCUGGCUGGGGAGCUGUCCGAAUGCGUCACAACCUCCGCAUCACACAUCAGAGACUAUGAGAAGAGAGCGGAAACAGCUAAGCGCCCGUGUACUCCGGGAGUGAGUGGGAGGAACCCCCCCCCAGGACCCCACCACUGGCUGGGUCAAUGCUGUUGCGUCCACGACCUGGCUGAGUGUCGGUCACCACCCUCCAGCACGGCUACACCACCAUCCGCAUCUGUGUUACUACCAUCAAGAGCUACACACGUCCUCUUCAAGGGGCUGAACAGAGAGGGAGCCCCGGCCUCCACCCACGGGACAACAACGGUUUGGGAGCUUUUACUGUAUGCCAGGAACUGUUCUAACAACUUCUGCUUUACUAACUUUUUAAUC